GCGUUUAUAUAUUUGGCAAUGUUUACAUUCCCGUUUUUCGACAAGAACGUCAAAAUUCCUUCUGGUCGUUUUUCCACCCCGUAGAUAUUAGAUAUUGCACUUGUGCAUUUACUCGUAUGUGUACGCUAUUAUAUCUGUUGUACAAGUGGUCAAUCUCAGUUAGGCAUGCCUGCCGUAACUUGAACGGGUCAGCAGAACAUCAUCAUCACCUUAUAUACACGAGAAAAUUAGAGUAUAGCUGCAGUAUUCCUAUUUUAUUAUAAAUAUUUAUUGCAUAUUAUAAAUCUACAUUCUGAAUUUAUUUCUUAUGAUCUCAUACGAUGUAAUACUCGGAAGAGAUCACGCAUAGUAAAUCGUGAUUAUAAUAUACUUCAAAAAUCUAUAAAUAAAGCUUCCAUUAUUAUAUUUACUUCACUCGAGCACGAUGAUACUGUCAAGGGAACUGUUAGUUUCCAUUUAUUUCGUAUGUAUAUAUUGUGUUGAUGGUGAAUCGAAUAACUACCGAGACGAAAAAGUUGUACUAGUGGCACCCGUUUUAGCUCCUAUUAAGAAUCCACGCGCAAGAGUCGUGGAAACUGCAAAGGAUUUUCCUAUAAUAAGAUUAUUAUCUACGGACAACACGACAAAAACAAAUGACACCGACCGCAAAGAAGAUCCACAACCUAUAUAUGUUGAAAAAAUCGAAGACCAAGUCCACAGACGUAAAAGAUUAUCCGGAUACAAUUAAAUUAUUCAAUCUGGGCAUAAUUUAAAUAAUAUUGUAAUUGGAUAUAAAACCAUUAUUAUUAUGAUG